GUAGGGUGCAAGCGUUAAUCGGAAUUACUGGGCGUAAAGCGUGCGCAGGCGGGUUUUGUAAGUCUGUCGUGAAAGCCCCGGGGCUCAACCUGGGAAUUGCGAUGGAGACUGCAAGGCUUGAAUCUGGCAGAGGGGGGUAGAAUUCCACGUGUAGCAGUGAAAUGCGUAGAGAUGUGGAGGAACACCGAUGGCGAAGGCAGCCCCCUGGGUCAAGAUUGACGCUCAUGCACGAAAGCGUGGGGAGCAAACAGGAUUAGAUACCCUGGUAGUCCACGCCCUAAACGAUGUCUACUAGUUGUCGGGUUUUAAUUAACUUGGUAACGCAGCUAACGCGUGAAGUAGACCGCCUGGGGAGUACGGUCGCAAGAUUA
rnacentral:rRNA from 1 species